GACGAACGCUGGCGGCAGGCCUAACACAUGCAAGUCGAGCGGAGCGGCGGACGGGUGAGUAAUACCUAGGAAUCUGCCUGAUAGUGGGGGAUAACGUUCGGAAACGGACGCUAAUACCGCAUACUAUCAGAUGAGCCUAGGUCGGAUUAGCUAGUUGGUGAGGUAAUGGCUCACCAAGGCUACGAUCCGUAACUGGUCUGAGAGGAUGAUCAGUCACGCGGGAUGUGAGACAGGGUCCAGACUCCUACGGGAGGCAGCAGGGGGGAAUAUUGGACAAUGGGCGAAAGACUGAGCCAGCCAUGCCGCGUGUGUGAAGAAGGUCUUCGGAUUGUAAAGCACUUUAAGUUGGGAGGCGUUACCGACAGAAUAAGCACCGGCUAACUCGGUGCCAGCAGCCGCGGUAAUC
rnacentral:rRNA from 1 species